UUCAAAUGCAUUAUAGUAAUUGAAAUCUUUAUAUUCAGUUUUCACAUAAGUACUGUAACAAGUCAGUCAGGCUCAUCAAUCAGCUACAGCUACAGCGCACUCCCUCACCAUAGUGUUAAUCACCAGCACCUGUUCACCAUCAACCCAUCAGCUCACCUCCACAUAAAAGCACACACCUCAGUUUCCCAAGUUAUCCGAUCUUGUAGCUGAAUAGCGGAAUCACUCCUGUUGUUAAGCUACCUGCAUUGACUCACUACAAACCUUGCCGCUUACCUCUCAUUGAUUCCUUCUCCUAGACUUCUGUAUUUUUUUCAAGUGUCUCUCCAUCAUUCCUCCUGAUGAGUCCUGAGUGUCUCCUAUGAUCCCUUCUCCAAGCACUCCUCUCCAGCGUGAACCCUGAGAGUCCGUGUGUUACAGAAGAUUGUACCACUACAGAAGAUGAGCAAGCCAGACCCGUGUCAGCUGGUGGAUUCGUUAAGAGCCUGACCGGACAGAGGAGCCCCCUCUCCCAUUACUCCUGGAGGAAGGAGCCACCUAUAAGGUCAAGGAAAUCCUGGAAUCCCAGCGGCGUGGUGGUAAACUUGAGUACCUAGUCGACUGGGAAGGAUAUGGCCUGGAAGAAUGAUCCUGGGUCCCAAGAGACAAUAUUCUUGAUCCCACACUCCUGAAGGAAUUCCACACGGCCCAUCCAGAUCGUCCAGCCCCUCGGGGCAGAGGGAUACCACCACUCCGUCGGGGUGUUUGGCAUUCAGGCACGGGCCCUGGAGGAGGGGGUACUGUCACAAUUCGGUCAGGCUCAUCAAUCAGCCACUCACAGCACACUCCCUCACCAGAAUACUAAUCACCAGCACCUGUUCACCAUCAACCCAUCAGCUCACCUCUACAUAAAAGCACACACCUCAGUUUCCCAAGUUGUCCGAUCUCGUAGCUGCAUAGCGGAAUCACUCCUGUUGUUUAGAUACCUGCAUUGACUCACUACAAACCUUGCUACUUACCUCUCAUUGAUUCCUUCUCCUAGACUCCUUUGUUUCUCCAGUGUCUAUCCAUCAUUCCUCCCGAGUGUCUCCUACGAUCCCUUCUCCAAGCACUCCUUUCCAGCAUGAACCCUGAGGUGUGUGCAACGUGUCUGUCUUCCUGGUCACCCCACCGACAGCUCUGUAAAUUCCCAAAUACCCCAUCCUGUCAGUCAAGUCAGAAUCAGUGAUAUCAUCAAACUAUCUCCUCUGCAUAUCUCCCAUGCUCAACUCAAAUUCAAUUCCAAUAAACCUAACUCAUUUUUGC